UGCCCGGUAGCUAAAUGCGGAAGAGAUAAGUGCUGAAAGCAUCUAAGCACGAAACUUGCCCCGAGAUGAGUUCUCCCUGAGACUUAAAGUCUCCUGAAGGAACGUUGAAGACGACGACGUUGAUAGGCCGGGUGUGUAAGCGCAGCGAUGCGUUGAGCUAACCGGUACUAAUGAACCGUGAGGCUUAACCUUACAACGCCGAAG
rnacentral:rRNA from 1 species